AAUAUAAAGGGAUCCUGUUAAAAUGCAGAUUCUGAAAAAUUAAGUCUGGCAUGAGGCCUAAGAUUCUGCAUUUCUAACAAGCUCCCAAGUGUUGCUGA
rnacentral:pre_miRNA from 1 species